rnacentral:rRNA from 1 species
GACGAACCGAGCGAACGUUGUUCGGAAUCACUGGGCUUAAAGGGCGCGUAGGCGGGCUGCCGCGUCCGGGGUGAAAUCCCACGGCUCAACCGUGGAACUGCCCCGGAUACGGGCGGCCUCGAGGGGGGUAGGGGCAUCUGGAACUGUGAGUGGAGCGGUGAAAUGCGUUGAUAUUCACAGGAACUCCGGUGGCGAAGGCGAGGUGCUGGACCCCUCCUGACGCUGAUGCGCGAAAGCCAGGGGAGCAAACGGG